GGAUAACAGUUAGAAAUGACUGCUAAUACCGCAUAAGCGCACAAAACCGCAUGGUUUGGUGUGAAAAACUGAGGUGGUAUGAGAUGGACCCGCGUCUGAUUAGCUAGUUGGAGAGGUAACGGCUCACCAAGGCAACGAUCAGUAGCCGACCUGAGAGGGUGACCGGCCACAUUGGGACUGAGACACGGCCCAAACUCCUACGGGAGGCAGCAGUGGGGAAUAUUGCACAAUGGGGGAAACCCUGAUGCAGCAACGCCGCGUGAGUGAAGAAGUAUUUCGGUAUGUAAAGCUCUAUCAGCAGGGAAGAAGAGAGACGGUACCUGACUAAGAAGCCCCGGCUAACUACGUGCCAGCAGCCGCGGUAAUACGUAGGGGGCAAGCGUUAUCCGGAUUUACUGGGUGUAAAGGGAGCGUAGACGGCUUAAUAAGUCUGAAGUGAAAGGCCAAGGCUUAACCAUGGAACUGCUUUGGAAACUAUGAGGCUAGAGUGCUGGAGAGGUAAGCGGAAUUCCUAGUGUAGCGGUGAAAUGCGUAGAUAUUAGGAGGAACACCAGUGGCGAAGGCGGCUUACUGGACAGAAACUGACGUUGAGGCUCGAAAGCGUGGGGAGCAAACAGGAUUAGAUACCCUGGUAGUCCACGCGGUAAACGAUGAAUGCUAGGUGUUGGUGGGCAAAGCCCAUUCGGU
rnacentral:rRNA from 1 species